AUUGAACGCUGGCGGCAGGCCUAACACAUGCAAGUCGAGCGGAGCGGCGGACGGGCGAGUAAUGCCUAGGAAUCUGCCUGGCAGUGGGGGAUCACGUCCGGAUACGGGCGCUAAUACCGCACAUUAUCAGAUGAGCCUAGGUGGGAUCAGCUAGGUGGUGGGGUAAAGGCUUACCAAGGCGACCAUCCGUAACUGGUCUGAGAGGAUGACCAGUCAAACUGGAACUGAGACACGGUCCGAACUCCUACGGGAGGCAGCAGUGGGGAAUAUUGGACAAUGGGCGAAAGCCUGAUCCAGCCAUGCCGCGUGUGUGAAGAAGGUCUUCGGAUUGUAAAGCACUUUAAGUUGGGAGGCGUUACCAACAGAAUAAGCACCGGCUAACUUCGUGCCAGCAGCCGCGGUAAUUC
rnacentral:rRNA from 1 species